rnacentral:misc_RNA from 1 species
GGAGAAAUACUAUACAGUUUAAAUUAUAUAAAAAUUUUAUUUGUCAUAAAAAAUCAAAACAUAUAUCAUAGAUGUUAUAUGGUUAAUGACAUAUAUAUAUAACUUUUUAGAGGGUCUAUAUAUAUUGCAGCACAAAUUCAAGUGGCAGGCUUACUGUAGGAAAAAAUUAAAUAAUGGAAAUUGGUCAGUGAUCUCAUUGAAUCUUCUGUUAAGGGUCCGGAGAGCUUGGACAUGAGGCUCGUCUUCUUCUACUGGUAUUAUUUUAGCAAAGCUUCCCUCUUCAAGAAAGUCUACCACCUGGUUUGCUGCCUCCAGUCCAGUAACAUAAGACUUCUCCUGUGACCAUGAUCCGUGCCGGGUUAUAAUCCAAUCUCCAGCCAUGAACAAGUUUGGGAAAGAUGUCGAACCACGCAUCAUGUGCCGAUAUGAACCUGGAAAGAAGUGCGUCAAGGAUUUUGGAAAUCUUGCAAUCUCCUUUUCAAUCACUUUAGCCUUCUCGAAGUCCUUGAUGAUAUUGGAGAGAAGGGAUAUCACUUUUGUAACUACAAGUUCAUCCUGGAGUGGUAACAAUUCAUUUGCAUGAUAGAAAUCGACCCGAAUUGUUGUCACUUCACUGUCUUUAUGCUCAUCAUGAAGCGCAUUCAGGUCAAAAAAUGUCCACCCAAGUGAAUCAUCAAAUGUAGAGCAAACAUUGCUAGCAUGAGGAAUGUUGACCUGGUUAUAUAUGAAGUUUAUGACAAAAUCAGCAAAAAAAAAACACAAGGAAAUAUCCAAAACAACCUGCAGAAUCUGUUGCUAUCAUCUGUUCUUAUAUGGUAACCUGCAGGAAAAAUGACAGCCUAAAGUUGCAAAAAAUUAUUUUUUUUGUCUUAAACAAUAUUCCCCGUAGCUGUAGCCCACUCUGACUAGUAAGGGACAAGGCUUCAUAAGUUGAGUCCAGUCAAGUCAAACAAUUCUUGAUUUACAUAGAUAUUCCUUUGAGUAAAUAUCUUCGGGCAAAAAUCUAUCAAAAUCAAUUAGCAAUCAAUUUUCUACAAACCCACACUUCUAAAUAAAGGCUAACUUUACAUUCAAACUCUUAAAAGAAUCUCAAAACUAGCCCCCAAAUAAAAUUAGGUUAGACUAUUUGGUCCAGCUAUCACUCUAUCUAGUCUCUUCAUUAUAUUGAAGUACCACAUGCUGUAGCAUAAAUGUUCUUUAGGCUCAAAAAUUAUGAGAGAUACGUAGAAGAUGUUGAGUACUACUUUUUCUUCUCAUAGAAAUUAGAGUCUAUAAGAUGUUAAGUAAUCAUUCAAAGAACAACACUUGAGCUGAUGUUUACUUAGAGACAUCAAUCUUCGUGCAAAGAGAAGCCAAAGCAGGAUGUGCCUCUGAGGAUAUUGAACAGUGUUGGGUAGACAUAAUGAAACUCUCUCUGAACUCCCAAUCAAUAAAUCACUUGAUCCAUGUGAAGUAGGAUGAGGGACACAGUCAUUAUAACCGAUUAUGCUGCCAAGAGUAAGUGAUGACCUAAAAUGUUAAUUUCAGCUACCUAGGAAGAACAUUAGCCCAACUUCCAAUGCAACUGAUGCUUAAGGCAAUAAAUACUCAAAUGAUAUUGAAGUCAGAGUGAACAAAUCAAUUUACUCAUGAGCUUCUUGGAAUCAACUUAAAAAUAAUUGAAUUGAAUUCAAUUUUAAUCCACUUGAGUUUGAAUGUUAUAAUACUCAAGUGGUUUGCAAGCUUAAAAGUAUAAUUUUUAAAUAAUAAUUUAGCAUGUUAAUUAUUUUUGCUAAUUAAAAUAAAAACACUAAUUUGAGCCUGACGCAACUUUAUCCAAGUUCAAAUUCAAAAUUACUCAAAAACCUUACUUGAGCUUUUAGCGGUUAUAAGUUGGGUCGAGCUUGAGCAUCCUAAGUAUGUUACCGAUUUGAGUUUGAGUAGAAAUACAAGACUAUAUAGAAUUUGACUAAAUAUCAAGUCUCAAUUAUACCCCUAAUUGAUGUCAUAUCUUUAUGGAGCACCAUCUUUUUAAUAGUGGGAUAAGAUGCAGGAGGCUUACACCUCAAGGCACACUCAGAACAUUAGCUCUUUUGGGGUAUGUCGUGUUUGUCCCGCUCACAUUUUUAGAACUCAUAUCAAAGCAAGAUGCUUCACUUCAUGGAAAAAUACUUCAAGAAAAGAAAUCAAAACUUGAAAUUUACCAGAGUUUCCUUUGGAUGGCAGGUAAAUUGUGAGUUUUCUAUUUCCUAUCUUUGAACAAAUGAAAAAGUUCCUGAACAAACCUUUCUGUCAAGCUGAAGUUUACAGGUGAGUACAUCAAUACCGGACAGGUUCAAAACUUUCAGAAACUCCUCCCGUGUACAUAGUGCUGCACUAUUUUUGACAAGUUCUUGAACUUUGGAGAUCCCAACGGCCAGAAUUACUGCAUCAGCACCAUAGGUCUCAUUGCUGCAAACCACUCCUGAAAUGCAACUUGUUUCUUUGUUAAAGAUGAAAUCCUUCAUUUUUCCACCGUCCAGAAAUCGACAGCCUUUAGUCCUCAGUGAGUCCAUCCAUGGGUUGAAAAUUUUUCCUCUAACUGUUCCACGACACCAUACCAUAUCAAAAUCUUUCUGGUGAGCAAGGGAGAUGAAGUAUAGCAUUCCAAUUGUUGCAGCUGCACUACAUUGCUCUGGUGGGGCAAACAAACUGACUUGGAGCAAUGGACCAAAAACAUUCCGAUAAAUUCUCUCUGAGCAGCCAAACUGUUUGAAAAGUUCCCUCGCAGUAACUAUCAGUAAACCUCCAAAUAAGACACUUGAAACACAUCUGUCAAUUAAAGUAAGUAGUAAUUUUCUAAUGCUGGAAAUCCACAGUUGCAGCUGAGAUCCUUACUUGCAUCAUAUUUUCUCCAAGCCAUGUCAGUGUUGUCAAAGUCAAUUACUACAAAUCGAAGGUAGAGAUGGAUAAUUAAUCAGCAGAAAUUACAAAAAGGAUGCAAAAUUAAACUUAACAAAUUGAUUAAAUAUCAGUUGUAAAAAUGUUAAUAAAUAACUUGGGGCAUAGUAGUCUAUUUCUGUUUCUUUGACCUUCCAUGCAUUAUAAGUUUGAGAACAUGUAAACUAAAAAUAGCAAUAAUCUAUUGACCAUCUUGGCAUGUAGAAGAAGUAAAUGAAUAUUUGACUGAAAAUAUUAAAUUAUAAGAUGCCUCAAGAGGGAUAGCAGUUGCAGGCAUCAAGCAAGAAAACUUGGUACAGCACUGAGUUUCAGAGCAAUAACAAACACCAUUGGCUAAUAGUAGCUAUACAAUUUCUAAAAGAUUAUUGAAUGGCAGGAUGCAAUUACCACAUACAGUACAAAUUUGAAUUGAAGCUCAAAGUAUUUGUGUUUUUUUCACCAUCUAGAGUCCAUAUAGAUAUAUGAAGAAACCUGAUAAUGGCUAUACAAGUAUGAGUUUGAUAUCCUUAAGUUUGUGUACACUGGCAAAUUUACAGUGGGGGCAACUAGCUCCAUCCUUUAUAAAAUUUUCAAUAAAUUCUUUAAUAAGGAAUCGCCCCCACUCAAUUAGCCUAAUUAUCCCAUUGUCCAUAUAAAUUUUCAUGCAUACUUUUUAUUUUUAUGAAAUUUCCCACUAAAUUUUAAAUAUGUCUCCAUUUAAAUUAAAUAAUUAUAAUUUUUAGUA